CUAGACACAAGUAGCUACUCUGUAGGAGAUGUUCUGAGAGGUAACUGCUCCUCACCUCCCUCCAACGCUCCAGCCAACGUGACGUGGUACCUUAAUGGAGAGAAGGAAGAGCCUAGCCUGGUGACACACCAGUCAGGUAUCAACGGCACUGUGACAGUGUCUGCACUCUCUAUGGAGUUGUCUGCUGACAGUUUCCCUGGGGGUAAGCUGCAGAUCCGCUGUAUCGCCGACCUCUUCUCCAUCACCCAGACGGCCAGAGAGAUGUGGCUGGACGAAGACAGGCCUCGGAUUGCGUCUGUCAUGGGGUCACGAGACUCUGCUGAGAGAAGUAUGGCCAGUUCUACAUUACUUCUUCAGACAGCGCUGCUAGCACUGUUAGGCUGCAACAGAUAGCAUCAUGUCUGCGUGAUGUAAUCAAAUGGCUGUGAGCUCUUCGGACUGUGUCUACCCACUGUGUCCCAGUGUCAAACAUCUGUAUAUUUGUCAAUACCUGCUGUAUUAUAUCAGUGUUUUGUAGAUUAAUAAUUAAAUUUGUUCA